rnacentral:lncRNA from 1 species
AUACUUUAGCUGACGAAACAGAGAUAUUCGUCGGCUAAAGUUUGUCAGUAAAGCCGACGAAUAUACUGUUCGUCGGCUAAAAGUCUGGAACAAUAGCCGACGAAAAAUAGUUCGUCGGCUAAAAGCUGGAACAAUAGCCGACGAAAAAUAGUUCGUCGGCUAAAGUCUGGAACAACAGCCGACGAACUAUUAGUUCGUCGGCUAAAGUCUGGACAAUAGCCGACGAUGGUCUUUAGAUUCAUCGGCUAAAGCCAUCACCGACGACCCUUUCCAGACGACACUAUAGCCGACGAGCCUUCGUCGGCUAAGACCUUAGCCGACGAAUUAGGAUAACAGGCCGACGAAAAUAUUUCGUCGGCUAAAGUACUUGUCCUGGUAGUGAGGGUAAAGGUAUCGCGAAUCUUUUUUGGUCUUCACUUUUUUCUUUUAUGACUUUGGGAGAGAUUUGAGAAGAUUCUCAUCCUCUAAAGUUGAUUCACCCUCGUUAUAUAUACCAAGAACUCAAAUGACCCGUCAUCUCAUUUUGGGUAUAUGUAUGAAGACCAAAGGGUUCUUCAUUUUCCAAAUCACCCCAACAAAACUUAGUUUGAUGAUUAGAUUCCACCAAACCAGAAUCUUCAUCAUUCGCUUCAACCAUAAUGUUAUUGUGCUUUCCAAGUUCAGCAUCAUUCGAAACCAAAAUUGCAUUAGAAUCGUCUCUUAUCUCUAGAGGAGUUUGCAACAAUCUUCUCUCUAUGAUCCUUUUCUCGCUCAGUUAAAAGGACUUAAAAAUAAUUAAACAAAGAAACUGUUGGGAUAUGUUGUUGCCCGACCUCUGGAGCACUACGUGCAUAAGGUGUUACAAGAACACUUAUAGCACAUGGGCUA